UUUCCGUAGGUGAACCUGCGGAAGGAUCAUUACCGUGGGGGUGAUUCCCCAUCGAGAUAGCACCCUUUGUCUAUGAGUACCUCUUGUUUCCCCGGCGGGUGAUUCCGCCAACGGGGACCCCAUAAACCCUUUGCAGUUGCAGUCAACCUCUGAUAACAACCAAUUAUUAAAACUUUCAACAACGGAUCUCUUGGCUCUGGCAUCGAUGAAGAACGCAGCGAAAUGCGAUAAGUAGUGUGAAUUGCAGAAUUCAGUGAAUCAUCGAAUCUUUGAACGCACAUUGCGCCCUUCGGUAUUCCGUAGGGCAUGCCUGUUCGAGCGUCAUUGAAAAACCUUCAAGCCCUGCUUGGUGUUGGGUGUUUGUCCCGCCCCGGUGCGUGGACUCGCCUCAAAACUAUUGGCGGCCGGUUUACUGGCUUUGGUGCAGCACAACGCGCCACAAGCACACUGAAUCUGGCCCCCAGAAGCCCCUUCUAAGUUUGACCUCGGAUCAGGUAGGGAUACCCGCUGAACUUAAGCAUAUCA
rnacentral:rRNA from 1 species